GAUGAACGCUGGCGGCGUGCCUAAUACAUGCAAGUCGAGCGAACAGACGAGGAGCUUGCUCCUCUGACGUUAGCGGCGGACGGGUGAGUAACACGUGGUUACCCUACCUUUAAGACGGGGAUACCUUCGGGAAACCGGGGCUAAUCCCGGAAAAUAUUUUGACCCCCAGGGUUCAUUAUGAAAAGCCGGUUUUGCUGUACCUAUAAGAUGGAUCCGCGCCGCAUUAGCUAGUUGGUAAGGUAACGGCUUACCAAGGCAACGAUGCGUAGCCGACCUGAGAGGGUGAUCGGCCACACUGGAACUGAGACACGGUCCAGACUCCUACGGGAGGCAGCAGUAGGGAAUCUUCCGCAAUGGGCGAAAGCCUGACGGAGCAACGCCGCGUGAGUGAUGAAGGUCUUCGGAUCGUAAAACUCUGUUAUUAGGGAAGAACAAAUGUGUAAGUAACUAUGCACGUCUUGACGGUACCUAAUCAGAAAGCCACGGCUAACUACGUG
rnacentral:rRNA from 1 species